UAUACAAAGGUAUUGAAAUAAGAUUUUAAUUGAAUGCUAAGAGAAUGGAAUUUCAGAAAAAAACUUUUUUCAAAUUAAAAAUUGAAAUUUUUUUAAUUUGUGCAGAAACAAUUAUUAAUAUUAAGGACAAGAAGACCCUAUGAAUUUAUAAAUUUUAUUUAAUAUGUAACUACUAUUAAAAAAAUUUUAGCUGGGGCGGCGGAAAAAUAUUUAAAACUUUUUUAAAAUAAAAUGACCCAUUAUUAAUGAUUAUAUGUUAAAUACUCUAGGGAUAACAGCGUUAUAUUUUUUGAUAGAUCAUAUUGACAAAAAAGUUUGCGACCUCGAUGUUGGAUUAGGAUACUUUUUUAAUGCAGAUAUUAAAAAAAGAAGUUUGUUCAACUUUUAAUUUCCUACA
rnacentral:rRNA from 1 species